CGCGGGAUCUUCCAAUGGUAGGAUACCGGGCUCAUGACCCGGUGCUAGAGGUUCAAAUCCUCUUCCCGCUA
rnacentral:tRNA from 1 species